ensembl:lncRNA
GCUGGCGUUGCUCCGAGAGAGGAGAACCAAGUAGAUCCCAUUUCUUAGCAGUGCCUGUAAGGCCCCAGAUGAUUUACUCAUGUCUCCAUUUGCAUUACAGAUAUCUGUGCCUGUUCGGGCGGAUCCCACAGAAGAUGAGUUAAAAUACAGCCUGAGAGCAGAGAGAAGUAUUGAGAAACCACAGAUACAUAAAUAUAACAGUUAAAAAUUCUACUGGCUCAGAGAACGAUGCAGUUGCACGGCUGAUAACAGCAUUGAUUAACAGCGAGAGAUAACGAGGCACUUUUGUUCUGGUUUUGCGUUCCCAGCAGAGCGGUGCUGCUGUGGGGAUGUGGGCUCAGCGCUGCCUGAUGGGGUCACAGUGCAGGGCUGCACGUCUCUUUGCAGCCCUUUGUGGCACAGAGGUGACGGCAAUUCACCACAUUCCUUAUCCACUGGGUUGGCUAAGGCUGGUAAAGAGGGAACGUGUCUUUUGUAGGGGGAAAAACUGGGCAGAGCAGAUGGAUGGCUUUAAUCCCUGAUGACUGACUGUCUCUCUGAGCUCCACCACAUGUUGCAUCUGCAGGUUGCUCUGUGCAUGAAAGCCAGCACUUCUGCCAAAUGCACCCACUGAAGCCCUGCUGCCCUGCUCAUCUCCUGGCUGCCACAGAAACCUGCUGGUAACAGAGGGAGGCUGCAGGGCCCACGCUGGGUCAGGACAUUGGCCUGUUGCUUUCAGUGAUGGUGUGGAGCCAUCAGCGCUGCUGGUUGCAGCUGGGAAGCAGCACUGAGUGUUGGGGUGGGGGCAGAAGGAAGGAUGUGCACAGAGAUCUGGGCAGCAGGACACCGGGAUGCAGAACUCCGCGGAAAUAAUGAAGGAACAAGAAAUGGUCUCUGUGAUUAUUCAUCAUCUGCUGAGCAAUCCGGAGUGAAAACAGGCGAACAAAAGCUCUGGAGGAAGAGGCUGGGAGAGCUGAAUGCGAACACUUCAGGGCUACUUAGGGCACGAAGCAGAAGCAGCUCUUCAGCGAUGCUGCGCACGCAGAGCGGGGCCCUCUGUGCACACAAACAAAUUAAUCAGAAGGAAACAGCAGAAAACUCCCUUCGAAUUAAUGAAGCAGUUUAACUUGGAGACUGUGGAAGAAAGACAAGAACUCCCGUUGUAUUUCUGUAACGUCGGGCCUGUAAUGUAUGUUCCCUGUGCUCACGAUUAAAGGGCAAUUCACGCCUGUGUAGGAAGAUUGCUUUUGGGGAAGCAUUCCCCCCUUCUGCAGGGCAGCAGCAGCUCGUUGCUGUGAUUAAAGCAGCCCAGACCGUGCACAGAGGGGCACAGCUCUGCAAUGGCGAGCAAAUGGACCAUAGGACUUAAAAUACCUCAAGUAUUUAAUGUCCUUCAGGAUUCCCAGCACAUAAAGCUCAGUUGAUUUCGUUCACCAGGUCAGAAAUAAUUGGUUUUCUCACCAGAGCUGAGCUCCAGGGUAAGAAUGAGGUGCUGUGCUGCAGAAUUACUGCAUUUUUGGUACUAACAAGAUGCAUAUUUUUGCAUGUACUCUACAACACUGCUAGGAUAUUUUGAUGGCAAAUAAGGAAAUCUUAGUUUUUAAACACGUGAUUUGAAGCCAUCUAGCCUGAGUGUUUACAUGCUACUUGAAAUGGGAUAAUACCCCAAGCCCCAGCAUGCUGCACCGGGGCUGGCAUUGCAGGCAGCAGCAGGGCUCCUGCAGGCUGUGCAUACCACAAGGAUUUACAUACAUGGAGAAAAGCCAAGCAAAUAAUCCUGACUGAACAGCGCUCCUGACGCUCAUAUUUAAACAACUGAUUGCCAGGGAAUGUAUUUUUCCUCUCUCUCUCUUCCUGUUUUUUUCUUGAUCAUUUGUUAAAUAUAUUAAGACAUUCUCUGCCUCAUGCUGGAGCUGAGACUGCACCUUAUUGCCUUUUGCAGUUCUCCAAAUGAAUCACUGCAUGUUUGCAACAGGUCCUGCUGGAGCCAUAGAAGUGAUAUGCAGAAAAUGUAACCUCUUACCCUCCACGUGCAUUCAAAUGAUGUCACACUGGGUGAAUUGCUCAGCAGCACACUGGGAUGGCCAAUGGCAGAACUGGCUGCAGUGCUGACACAGGCAGAGCUG